rnacentral:rRNA from 1 species
UUGAUCCUGGCUCAGGAUGAACGCUAGCGGCAGGCUUAACACAUGCAAGUCGAGGGGCAGCGAGAUCAGUGCUUGCACUGAUCGUCGGCGACCGGCGCACGGGUGCGUAACGCGUAUGCAACCUACCCAUUACAGGGGGAUAACACUGAGAAAUCGGUACUAAUACCCCAUAACAUCCAGGGAGGCAUCUUCUUGGGUUGAAAACUCCGGUGGUAAUGGAUGGGCAUGCGUUGUAUUAGUUAGUUGGUGGGGUAACGGCUCACCAAGACAACGAUACAUAGGGGGACUGAGAGGUUAACCCCCCACAUUGGUACUGAGACACGGACCAAACUCCUACGGGAGGCAGCAGUGAGGAAUAUUGGUCAAUGGACGCAAGUCUGAACCAGCCAUGCCGCGUGCAGGAAGACGGCUCUAUGAGUUGUAAACUGCUUUUGUACGAGGGUAAACGCAGAUACGCGUAUCUGUCUGAAAGUAUCGUACGAAUAAGGAUCGGCUAACUCCGUGCCAGCAGCCGCGGUAAUGCGGAGGAUUCAAGCGUUAUCCGGAUUUAUUGGGUUUAAAGGGUGCGUAGGCGGUCGGAUAAGUUAGAGGUGAAAUCCCGGGGCUCAACUUCGGAAUUGCCUCUGAUACUGUUCGGCUAGAGAGUAGUUGCGGUAGGCGGAAUGUAUGGUGUAGCGGUGAAAUGCUUAGAGAUCAUACAGAACACCGAUUGCGAAGGCAGCUUACCAAGCUACUUCUGACGUUGAGGCACGAAAGCGUGGGGAGCAAACAGGAUUAGAUACCCUGGUAGUCCACGCAGUA